CCUGCCGCUUGAGGUGUUACAGGUGUGGCUGCUGUGUCAUAUGAGCGUCGGCAGGUGGCAGAGAGGAGAGAGGCUAUGUCAAUGUUCAGUGUUCUCCCCUAUGAACAUCUGAAUGAUUAGGAACCUUACAUU